rnacentral:misc_RNA from 1 species
AACCAUUCUCACCUGCGGCUAGACCUGCGGAAGGAUCAUUACCGAGUUUACAACUCCCAAACCCCUGUGAACAUACCUAUACGUUGCCUCGGCGGAUCAGCCCGCGCCCUGUAAAAAGGGACGGCCCGCCCGAGGACCCCUAAACUCUGUUUUUAGUGGAACUUCUGAGUAAAACAAACAAAUAAAUCAAAACUUUUAACAACGGAUCU